rnacentral:rRNA from 1 species
CAUUCGCCACGGGAAUACAGAGGGUGCGAGCGUUAAUCGGAUUUACUGGGCGUAAAGCGUGCGUAGGCGGCUUCUUAAGUCGGAUGUGAAAUCCCUGAGCUUAACUUAGGAAUUGCAUUCGAUACUGGGAAGCUAGAGUAUGGGAGAGGAUGGUAGAAUUCCAGGUGUAGCGGUGAAAUGCGUAGAGAUCUGGAGGAAUACCGAUGGCGAAGGCAGCCAUCUGGCCUAAUACUGACGCUGAGGUACGAAAGCAUGGGGAGCAAACAGGAUUAGAUACCCCAGUAGUCCCUGUCUCUUAUAC